rnacentral:rRNA from 1 species
UGGAUCCAGACUUUGAUCCUGGCUCAGGAUGAACGCUAGCUACAGGCUUAACACAUGCAAGUCGAGGGGCAGCAUGGUCUUAGCUUGCUAAGGCCGAUGGCGACCGGCGCACGGGUGAGUAACACGUAUCCAACCUGCCGUCUACUCUUGGACAGCCUUCUGAAAGGAAGAUUAAUACAAGAUGGCAUCAUGAGUCCGCAUGUUCACAUGAUUAAAGGUAUUCCGGUAGACGAUGGGGAUGCGUUCCAUUAGAUAGUAGGCGGGGUAACGGCCCACCUAGUCUUCGAUGGAUAGGGGUUCUGAGAGGAAGGUCCCCCACAUUGGAACUGAGACACGGUCCAAACUCCUACGGGAGGCAGCAGUGAGGAAUAUUGGUCAAUGGGCGAGAGCCUGAACCAGCCAAGUAGCGUGAAGGAUGACUGCCCUAUGGGUUGUAAACUUCUUUUAUAAAGGAAUAAAGUCGGGUAUGCAUACCCGUUUGCAUGUACUUUAUGAAUAAGGAUCGGCUAACUCCGUGCCAGCAGCCGCGGUAAUACGGAGGAUCCGAGCGUUAUCCGGAUUUAUUGGGUUUAAAGGGAGCGUAGAUGGAUGUUUAAGUCAGUUGUGAAAGUUUGCGGCUCAACCGUAAAAUUGCAGUUGAUACUGGAUAUCUUGAGUGCAGUUGAGGCAGGCGGAAUUCGUGGUGUAGCGGUGAAAUGCUUAGAUAUCACGAAGAACUCCGAUUGCGAAGGCAGCCUGCUAAGCUGCAACUGACAUUGAGGCUCGAAAGUGUGGGUAUCAAACAGGAUUAGAUACCCUGGUAGUCCACACGGUAAACGAUGAAUACUCGCUGUUUGCGAUAUACGGCAAGCGGCCAAGCGAAAGCGUUAA